rnacentral:antisense_RNA from 1 species
CCGCUACGGGAACCUGAAAGCACGACAUUGCUCACAUUGCUUCCAGUAUUACUUUAGCCAGCGUCUCGCUGGCUUUUUUUU